CGCAUCUGUGCAUGCAGCAUAUCAAUAAGCGGAGGAAAAGAAACUAACAAGGAUUCCCUCAGUAACGGCGAGUGAAGCGGGAAGAGCUCAAAUUUGAAAUCUUGAAAGGUCACCUUUCACGAAUUGUAGUUUAAAGAAGUGUUUUCUGUUACGAUCGUAAUAUAAGUUCUUUGGAAUAGGACAUCACAGAGGGUGAGAAUCCCGUCUAUGAUUGCGAUUUGUAGCUUUGUGAUACACUUUCAAAGAGUCGGGUUGUUUGGGAAUGCAGCCCAAAACGGGAGGUAAAUUUCUUCUAAGGCUAAAUAUUGGCGAGAGACCGAUAGCGAACAAGUACCGUGAGGGAAAGAUGAAAAGAACUUUGAAAAGAGAGUUAAAUAGUACGUGAAAUUGUCAAAAGGGAAGCGUUUAACACCAGUGUUGUUUUCUGAAAAUCAACCUCUGUUAGCUUUAUGCAUGUUUGUUUAGACCUAAUCAGCUAUCUUGCAUGUUCUAUUGUUUGCAGUGGUGCACUUUUCAGUUUACAGGUCAACAUCAGUUUUUUUUACCGUAAAAAAGUUAAAGAAAGGUAGCUCAUGGCUCCGGUCGUGAGUGUUAUAGUCUUUUUCCUAUGCGGUAGGAGAGACUGAGGUCUGCAGUGUAGGCUAUUUGGCUAGAUACUCAGGUGCUAUGUGACUACCAUUUCAUAAACAACUUGUUGAUUAUGUUUUGUCUAUUGCAUACUCGCUUGUACUAUCAUACCUACGCUUAGGAUGUUGACGAUCAGCUGAGCGCG
rnacentral:rRNA from 1 species